rnacentral:misc_RNA from 1 species
AAGGAUCAUUACAGAGUUCAUGCCCUCACGGGUAGAUCUCCCACCCUUGAAUACUAUACCUUUGUUGCUUUGGCGGGCCGCCUCGGCUACCGGCUUCGGCUGGUGAGUGCUCGCCAGAGAACCCAAAACUCUGAAUUACAGUGUCGUCUGAGUACUAUAUAAUAGUUAAAACUUUCAACAACGGAUCUCUUGGUUCUG